rnacentral:piRNA from 1 species
UGUUAAAGACUGUGAGUGGCUAGUUC